rnacentral:rRNA from 1 species
UUAAUUUGGUGAGUUUGAUCCUGGCUCAGAGUGAAGGCUAUAAGCCUGCUUGAAUACAUGCGAGUCGAAUGAUUAACAUCAUGGCGUACGGGUGAGUAUUAGGCUGAUAUCUGGCUUCAACUCUGGAAUAAUUCUAUCCCUAAGGGGAGAAGGCAACAGAAAAAUACCAGAUAAAUCAUAAAGGUACGCCGGUUGAAGAUGAUUAGGCUUAGUAUUAGGUAGUUGGUUAGAUAAAGCUUACCAAGCCGGUAAUGCUUAAUUGGUCUGAGAGGACGAUCAAUCACACUGGGACUGAGACAAGGCCCAGGUUUCAUUUGAAGGCAGCAGUAAGGAAUAUUGGACAAUGAGCGAAAGCUUGAUCCAGCAAGGCUUGGUGAGGGAUUGAAUGCUUAGGUUGUAAACCUCUUUUUUGAUCGAGGAUAAUGACAUUAAGUUAAGAAUAAGUCCCGACUAACUUCGUGCCAGCAGUCGCGGUAAUACGGAGGGGGCAAGCCUUAUUCGUCAUAACUGGGCGUAAAGGGUCCGUAGGUGGCUCUUCGUAACGUUAUUUGUUAAAGACUGUAGCUUAACUAUAGGAAGGCACUUAAUACAGAGGAGCUUGAGUAUGACAGAGGAAAAUGGAAUUUUUCAACGAGGGGUAGAAUCCAUAGAAGUGAAAGAGAACAUCACGUGCGAAAGCGAUUUUCUAGUUCAAUACUGACGCUGAGGGACGAAGGCGUAGGUAGCAAACAGGAUUUGAGACCCUGGUAGUCUACGCUGUCAACGAUGAGUGCUAGCUUUUAGGCAUCUAGAGGCUACAGCUAAGGCAUUAAGCACUCCGCCUGAGGAGUACGAGCGCAAGCUUAAAAAUCAACGGAAUUGGCGGGGGUCCAAACAAGUGGUGGAGCAUGUGGUUUAAUGCGAUAAUACGCGCGUAACCUUACCAGUUCUAGCAAGUCUGUCAUUGUUACGGAGACGUAAUUCAAUUUUGGGACUUUCAGGUGUUGCAUGGCUGUCGUCAGCUCGUGUCGUGAGAUGUAUGGUUAAUUCCUGUAACUGAGCGUAACCCUUAUCUCUCUUAUGUUUUAGUAUGUUACUAACAAAAAUAAAACUGGAUGGAGACUGCCAGCCACAAGCAGGAGGAAGGUAGGGAUGAGGUCAAGUCCUCAUGGCCCUUAUGAACUGGGCUACACACGUGCUACAAUGGAAAGAACAACAAGUUGCGAGGGCGCAAGCCAAAGCCAACCUUUAAAUCUUUUCUUAGUUCGGAUUGGGGGCUGCAACUCGCCCCCAUGAAGCUGGAAUCACUAGUAAUCGCAGAUCAGGAUGCUGCGGUGAAUACGUCACUGGGCCUUGCACACACCGCCCGUCACGUCCUGGGAGUUGACUUGGCCAGAAAAUUUUGGAAUAAACCUUUUGAGCUUGGCUUUAUACGGAAAAGAUAUUUUUUUUUGUCAAGUUAAAAGGGAAAGUCCUUUUAAAGGACAGGUAAGCGACCGGGAUGAAGUCGUAACAAGGUAGUUGUAGGGGAACCUGCGGCUGGAAAAUCAAAAAG